AAUCCGUGAUGUGGACAAAGUCUAAGCAUGUCCUUGUAUCUCUCCCACACUUCGAAUAAAGACUCGUUGUCUUUUUGUCUAAACCCAUUGAUCUGGGCUCUUAGCAU